AUUGAACGCUGGCGGCAUGCUUUACACAUGCAAGUCGAACGGUAACAGGUUAAGCUGACGAGUGGCGAACGGGUGAGUAAUGCAUCGGAACGUGCCCAAUCGUGGGGGAUAACGCAGCGAAAGCUGCGCUAAUACCGCAUACGAUCUGAGGAUGAAAGCGGGGGACCGUAAGGCCUCGCGCGAUCGGAGCGGCCGAUGUCAGAUUAGGUAGUUGGUGGGGUAAAGGCUCACCAAGCCAACGAUCUGUAGCUGGUCUGAGAGGACGACAAGCCACACUGGGACUGAGACACGGCCCAGACUCCUACGGGAGGCAGCAGUGGGGAAUUUUGGACAAUGGGCGAAAGCCUGAUCAAGCAAUGCCGCGUGAAGGAAGAAGGCCUUCGGGUUGUAAACUGCUUUUGUACGGAGCGAAAAGGUUCUCUCUAAUACAGAGGGCUCAUGACGGUACCGUAAGAAUAAGCACCGGCUAACUACGUGCCAGCAGCCGCAGUAACAC
rnacentral:rRNA from 1 species